rnacentral:rRNA from 1 species
GAUGAACGCUAGCUACAGGCUUAACACAUGCAAGUCGAGGGGCAUCAGAAACAAAGCUUGCUUUCUGUAUAGCUGUGCGACCGGCGCACGGGUGAGUAACACGUAUUCAACCUGCCCUUUACUCGGGGAUAGCCUUUCGAAAGAAAGAUUAAUACCCGAUGGCAUAAUGAUUCCGCAUGGUUUCAUUAUUAAAGGAUUCCGGUAAAGGAUGGGGAUGCGUUCCAUUAGGUUGUUGGUGAGGUAACGGCUCACCAAGCCUUCGAUGGAUAGGGGUUCUGAGAGGAAGGUCCCCCACAUUGGAACUGAGACACGGUCCAAACUCCUACGGGAGGCAGCAGUGAGGAAUAUUGGUCAAUGGGCGCUAGCCUGAACCAGCCAAGUAGCGUGAAGGAUGAAGGCUCUAUGGGUCGUAAACUUCUUUUAUAUAAGAAUAAAGUGCAGUAUGUAUACUGUUUUGUAUGUAUUAUAUGAAUAAGGAUCGGCUAACUCCGUGCCAGCAGCCGCGGUAAUACGGAGGAUCCGAGCGUUAUCCGGAUUUAUUGGGUUUAAAGGGAGCGUAGGUGGACUGGUAAGUCAGUUGUGAAAGUUUGCGGCUCAACCGUAAAAUUGCAGUUGAUACUGUCAGUCUUGAGUACAGUAGAGGUGGGCGGAAUUCGUGGUGUAGCGGUGAAAUGCUUAGAUAUCACGAAGAACUCCGAUUGCGAAGGCAGCUCACUGGACUGCAACUGACACUGAUGCUCGAAAGUGUGGGUAUCAAACAGGAUUAGAUACCCUGGUAGUCCACACAGUAAACGAUGAAUACUCGCUGUUUGCGAUAUACAGUAAGCGGCCAAGCGAAAGCAUUAAGUAUUCCACCUGGGGAGUACGCCGGCAACGGUGAAACUCAAAGGAAUUGACGGGGGCCCGCACAAGCGGAGGAACAUGUGGUUUAAUUCGAUGAUACGCGAGGAACCUUACCCGGGCUUAAAUUGCAGUGGAAUGAUGUGGAAACAUGUCAGUGAGCAAUCACCGCUGUGAAGGUGCUGCAUGGUUGUCGUCAGCUCGUGCCGUGAGGUGUCGGCUUAAGUGCCAUAACGAGCGCAACCCUUAUCUUCAGUUACUAACAGGUCAUGCUGAGGACUCUGGAGAGACUGCCGUCGUAAGAUGUGAGGAAGGUGGGGAUGACGUCAAAUCAGCACGGCCCUUACGUCCGGGGCUACACACGUGUUACAAUGGGGGGUACAGAAGGCAGCUAGCGGGUGACCGUAUGCUAAUCCCAAAAUCCUCUCUCAGUUCGGAUCGAAGUCUGCAACCCGACUUCGUGAAGCUGGAUUCGCUAGUAAUCGCGCAUCAGCCACGGCGCGGUGAAUACGUUCCCGGGCCU